rnacentral:rRNA from 1 species
AUACGUAGGUGGCAAGCGUUGUCCGGAAUUACUGGGUGUAAAGGGAGCGUAGGCGGGAAUGCAAGUUGAAUGUUAAAACUAUGGGCUUAACCCAUAUCUGCGUUCAAAACUGUAUUUCUUGAGUGAAGUAGAGGUAGGCGGAAUUCCUAGUGUAGCGGUGAAAUGCGUAAAUAUUAGGAGGAACACCAGUGGCGAAGGCGGCCUGCUGGGCUCUAACUGACGCUGAGGCUCGAAAGUGUGGGUAGC